GGGGAUGCCAGGCUUUGACAAUGGAAUACAAUUUAUAUGUGCAAAACGAGAGUUAGAGUCUCUCUCAAAACUCUAAAAAGAUAGUUGCAAAAUCUAUCACUAAAGCAAAGGGUCUUAUUUUAAGUCCGUUUGCUCCAGCUUACGCUUUAGCCUAAGCCGGCGUCUCUCCUGCUGAUGUUUGAUAAGCAGGUGUAGGUGUAAUAAAUUCAAACUAGAAAAUGUAAGUUUCUUGGUACAUUUUCAAAAUUAAGAGAAUCGGUGUAUGUUCGUUUUGUUUAUUUUUUA
rnacentral:tmRNA from 1 species